CGUGCUAAAAUAGUGAAGGAGGGUUAUAUAUGUAAAAUUGAAAUGGAAGAGCUUAGCUAACGCAAUUGUUAUGUUGAAGACAAGGACAGAACAUUUGAGUCCUUUUCUUUCUCGAGUGUCCUUUUCCUAAUAGUACAUUAUACUCUCUCUCUCUCUUUCUUUCUUCAUAUCAACACCCUCCAUCUCCAACUUGCCUUUCUGCAAAAUCCCAUCCCAUUCUCUUUUAAUUCUAUUCCUUUUUCUUCUCUCUCUCUCAAACCAACAAGAAGAAAUGGAUAGAAAGAGGUGUUUCAAAUCUUGAUCAUUAUCCACGACAGACAUACCCAAAUCAAGAAGUAAACACUGGGUUAGUGUGUAAUCAUUUACUAUUCUUGAUUUUUCAAUUGGGAUUUACAUCUCAACUUUUAAAGAUUCAAUCUUUGUUUUAGUUAUCUAACUUAUAAUUAUUAAAAAGAUGCCCUUAGAAGGGAUCUUCAUUGAACAACCCUCUUCAAACACACCCGAUCUGUCUCUUCAUAUUAGCCCUCCAAAUAAUGCUCUAAUUAAUUCAAGAAACUCCGAUCUCAGACGUCUGAACCCUAACUACUCCGCCAACACUGAACUCUCUUUAUCCCAUCCAGCUGCUAGCUCUUCCGGCCAACAGAUAAUAAUCCCCCGUCACAGAAAUAUUAAUCAUGAAGUCUUAUUCCCAUCCGACGGCCAGCAGAAACCCAUCAAGGGAAUUCCAGUUUAUCAGAACCGUACGUUCCCCUUCUUAUCUCUAGACCAUGGAAUUCACAAAAGUGGAGAUCAUUCAAAGUUACACAGCUUGUACCAUCAUCAUUAUCACCACCACCAACAGCAGCAACAUCAACAACAACAACAGCAUAUGUCUACUUCUUAUAGUAACCUCGGGCCUGGUCUGGAUCCUAUCUCGAUUUUAGGCCCUAACAGCCCGGUUUACCGAAGAUUCAAUGGGCUCAACCACCAGUACUACGGCGGCAGCCACCAUCAGAUGACUCCAGCAAGGUUUAGUCCGAAGAUGCCGAUGAAGAGGAGCAUGAGAGCUCCUAGGAUGAGAUGGACAAGUACCCUUCAUGCACGCUUUGUUCACGCAGUUGAGUUACUCGGAGGCCAUGAAAGGGCAACUCCGAAGUCGGUGUUAGAGCUAAUGGAUGUGAAAGAUCUUACAUUAGCUCAUGUGAAGAGCCAUUUACAGAUGUAUAGAACUGUUAAAACAACUGACAAGCCUGCGGCUUCAUCUGGUCAAUCAGAAGGGUCUGAAGAAGAUGAUAUCUCGACGGAGGCAGGCACCGGCGGCGGGGUUAGCGGCGGACAUCAAUUGUCGGCGGGUAGUUUGUGGAGGAGUAAUUCUUCGAGCAGAGACGCUUGGAUACAAACAAACUCCAAUAAUGUAGAUCAUGAAUUGAGACCAUCCGAUUUGUCAACGGAAGAGAGAUUCAUAAACCAUAUAGAGGAACCGAAUCGCUUCACAAGUUACUUAAGCUCGACUUUGAAUCAAAAGAAUCCGAACUUGGAGUUCACAUUAGGGAGACCAGAUUGGCGGGCCAAAUAGAGGAAAUGAUUAAGCUAAUAAUUUAGCUAAUUAAAAGUUAAUAAGAAAAAAAUGUCCAACAAAUUAAUAGGUAUAUACUAAUGGACAUGGAGAUAAUUAAUGAGGCAUGGAAAAGAUGCCCUAGUGUACUGUAGCUUGCAUGGGAAUAUCUAGCUAGGGCUUCAAAUAAAGUAUCAGGAAGAUACCCGAGUUAUGAUUAACGUCUCCUACGCACAUAGCUAUCAACCGGGGAAAAGUAAGUGACGACGAGCUUGGUGAACAAUCCCGAGCUAUCCUGAUCCAAAUAUUGAUGUCCUUCUCAAAAGAGAAUCUGUAAACUAUUUUGAUAAGAGUGUUUUUUCUUAAAAUGAGAUUAUCCUGAA